rnacentral:rRNA from 1 species
ACGUAGGGGGCUAGCGUUAUCCGGAAUUACUGGGCGUAAAGGGUGCGUAGGUGGUUUCUUAAGUCAGAGGUGAAAGGCUACGGCUCAACCGUAGUAAGCCUUUGAAACUGGGAAACUUGAGUGCAGGAGAGGAGAGUGGAAUUCCCAGUGUAGCGGUGAAAUGCGUAGAUACUGGGAGGAACACCGGUGGCGAAGGCGGCUCUCUGGACUGUCACUGACGCUGAGGCGCGAAAGCUAGGGGAGCAAACGG